rnacentral:lncRNA from 1 species
GGAUAGUAUACUUUCUUUGGUGGUGGUGGAGAGUAGACGGGAGGAGGGUAGUAUACCUUCUUCGGUGGUGGUGGAGAGUAGACGGGUGGUGGGUAGUAUACCUUCUUCGGUGGUGGUGGAGAGUAGACGGGUGGUGGGUAGUAUACCUUCUUCGGUGGUGGUGGAGAGUAGACGGGUGGUGGGUAGUAUACCUUCUUCGGUGGUGGUGGUGAGUAGACGGGGGGUGGGUAGUAUACCUUCUUCGGUGGUGGUGGUGAGUAGACGGGAGGUGGGUAGUACACCUUCUUCGGUGGUGGUGGUGAGUAGACGGGAGGUGGGUAGUACACCUUCUUCGGUGGUGGUGGUGAGUAGACGGGAGGUGGGUAGUAUACCUUCUUUGGCGGUGGUGGUGAGUAGACUGGUGGUGGGUAGUAUACUUUCUUUGGUGGUGGAGGAGACUUAUAGACGGGUGGUGGAUAGUAUACCUUCUUGGGAGGUGGGGGAGACUUGUAGACUGGAGGUGGGUAGUAUACCUUCUUUGGUGGUGGAGGAGACUUAUAGACGGGAGGAGGGUAGUAUACCUUCUUGGGAGGUGGGGGAGACUUGUAGACGGGAGGUGGGUAGUACACCUUCUUGGGAGGUGGGGGAGACUUGUAGACGGGAGGUGGGUAGUACACCUUCUUGGGAGGCGGGGGAGACUUGUAGACGGGAGGUGGGUAAUACACCUUCUUAGGUGGCGGAGGAGACUUGUAGACGGGAGGUGGGUAAUAAACCUUCUUGGGUGGCGGAGGAGACUUGUAGACAGGAGGUGGGUAAUACACCUUCUUUGGUGGUGGUGGAGAGUAAACUGGUG